rnacentral:snRNA from 1 species
GUGCUCACUUCGGCAGCAUAUAUACUAAAAUUAAAGCAAGACAGAGAAGAUGAGCAUGGCCCCUGCUCAAGGAUGACACACAAAUUCAUAAGUGUUUUAUAUUUUU